rnacentral:rRNA from 1 species
AUGGUACAAUGUCAAACAAAAUCCCCAGCUCAAAUGCAACCAGGCACAGGCACCAGCAAAGUAGAGUAUAUAUAUGUAUAUCACUGUAGGUAUUCGUUCCAUGUUCAUAUAUCAUCCACGAAAUACACGUACGUAUUUAUACGCGGUAUACUACGAUCUCACAGUCGCGGAAGCGCGCUAAAGUACCCCGAAAAACCUGCCCCAGCCACUCCUCCUCGCCUCCUCCUCAGCGGCCGCUGCCGCCGGCGGCGGCGGCGCAGCCGGCGCCUCUCCGACGCCCCAGAUCCCCUCGAGAACCUGGGCCAGGCUCGCCGGGACGCCGUAGGUGUCGGCCUCGGGCGCGGCGAGCACGGAGUCGAACACCUCCUGGAGGCCGACGACGCGGCGGCUGACGGCGCGCCGCGCCUCCCGCACGGCCGGGUCGUGGCCCGGGACGGCGUCGAGGCGGAGCAGCACGGCCAUGAGCGCCUCCGAGAAGCGCGCGCGCUCGCGGUCGUCGCCGCGGACGGCGUCCACGGUCUCCUGCCGCCGGAGCAGCCGCUCGAGCCGCGUCGCCUCGGCGUCGGCGGCGCGCACGGCCGCCACGUGCCUCCGGACCCGGCGGCUGCGGAACGCCGCCUGGAUCCUGGCGGCCGCCGCGUCCUGAGGCGUGGUGACGGGGAUCCGGACGGUUCUGGCGGGCUUGCGCGCGGCGGGGCUGGGGCCGGGGCCGGGGUCGCCGGCGGCGAAGAAGAACUGCGAGGCGGAGCUGUAGUGGUAGGAGCCCAUGGCGGCCGCCCUGGGUCAGUAGAGCGAGGUGAGGUCCAGUGUGCUACGGAGGACAAUUUCGUGGGAUCUGUGGGUGCCGGGCGUCGCACAGACCCGCGGUCCGGUCCACGCCUGCGGCGUGUUUCUUUGGGGGCAGGGCGUGUUUUCCUCGUCUCUUUUUCGGUGGCUUUUGCCGCACCACUCUAG